ensembl:lncRNA
GGAUGGGAGGGGACGGAGGCAGGAUUGGGCAGAGGGAGCGGUGGGGCUGCAGUGUCUCAUUGAAGGUUCAGCUGACUCUGGGAGGGGCUCUCCAGUUGGGAUGGUCCUUUGGAGUUGACCUGAACUAGAGCAACUGGACCAGGUCUCUGUACCCCAGCUUUGGUCAGUCGCUGGAUGAAGGCUGCCUCUGGAAGGAGGCCUGACCUUGGGAUGAGACCGCUUUCUUCUCUUGAGACAAUCUCCAAAGAAGGCUAAUAGCUGAGGGCUGUCUUCUGGCAGCAUUCCCAGAAGCCAUGGGAAUAAAUCCUUCAUUUCUGUCUCAGUCCAUUUAUGCUGCUGGAACAAAAAACCUGAGACUAAGUAAUUUAUAAAAGACAAAAAUAUACUUCUCAUGUUCUGGAGGCUGAGAAGUCCAAGAUCAAGGUGCCAGCAGAUGCAGUGUCUGGUGAGGGCUGCUCUCUGCUUCCGAGAUGGCACCUUGAAUGUUGCAUCCUCCAGAGGGGACAAACACCUUGUCCUCACAUGGCAGAAGGAAUGAAUGGGGUGAACACACACGUCAAGCCUUUUUAUAAAGCACUAAUCCCAUCCAUGCAGGCAGAGCCCUCGUGGCCUAACCACCUCUUAAAGGCUCACCUCUUAAUACUGUUGCAUUGGUGAUUAAGUUUCAACAUAAAUUUUGGAGGGGACGUGAACAUUCAAACCAUAGCGAUUCCUAAAGGGGCCCUGGGAAGCACAUUACAAUGUCUGUCACAAAAGCGGUGAUGGACUUGUAGAUAAAAGGGCAGACUCUGAAAUUGAGGACAAUGAUCUGGGUUCAAUUUUGGGUUCUACCUCUGACUAGCUGUAUGACCUUGGGCAAGUUAUCUACCCAUCUGAGUGUUGGUUCUUCCGCUGCACAAUGAGGAGAGUCAUGCUACUCAGGUGUGCUUGUACUUGACAGGUGCCUGGCACAAAGUAAUUACCCAACACAUAUCCCUUCCAUUCAUGCCUACCCUGUAGUCCUGAAUGACAUCACAAUUUCUUCCACGGUCCCUUCUCCUCCUUUGAACACCCCCAUAUCCUUGCCAUCCCUCCCCUAUAAAACCGUGCCUCCAGCUGUCUGUGACGUAUCCCACAGAAUUUCCAUCAACUUGUCCACAGCCCAUCAGAAGAAUGAUGGUCUUGAUCCCAAAAGCACUGGGGAGCCACUGAGGAGUUUUAGGAGAGUGACAAGAUCAGAUUUGCAUUUAAAUAAUCACUCUGUCUGCAGUGUGGAGUUAGACUUGUAGAGAGAAAAGAGGGUGCAACCGGCACUUUGGGAGGCCAAGGCGGGCAGAUCACAAGGUCAGGAGAUCGAGACCAUACUGGCCAACAUGGUGAAACCUCGUCUCUACUAAAAAUACAAAAAACUAGCCAGGCGUGGUGGCGGGCACCUGUAGUCCCAGCUACUCAGGAGAGUGAGGCAGGAGAAUUGCUUGAACCCAGGAGGCAGAGGUUGCAGUGAGCUGAGAUUGCACCACUGCACUCCAGCCUAGUGACAGAGUGAGACUCCAUCUAAAAAAAAAAAAAAA